rnacentral:rRNA from 1 species
GACGAACGCUGGCGGCGUGCUUAACACAUGCAAGUCGAGCGGUAAGGCCCUUUCGGGGGUACACGAGCGGCGAACGGGUGAGUAACACGUGGGUGACCUGCCCUCAGCUCUGGGAUAAGCCUGGGAAACCGGGUCUAAUACUGGAUAUGACUCCAUGACGCAUGUUGUGGGGUGGAAAGCCUUGUGCGGCUGAGGAUGGGCCCGCGGCCUAUCAGCUUGUUGGUGGGGUGAUGGCCUACCAAGGCGACGACGGGUAGCCGGCCUGAGAGGGCGACCGGCCACACUGGGACUGAGACACGGCCCAGACUCCUACGGGAGGGCAGCAGUGGGGAAUCUUGCGCAAUGGGCGAAAGCCUGACGCAGCGACGCCGCGUGAGGGAUGACGGCCUGG